CCUACUGAAAGGUUCAAACAUAAUCAACAAUUCUAUUUGCUUACUAGUAUUUGAACAGCCUGAGAGGUUUGACUUCAUGCAGAAGAAGGGAAUCCAUUGUCAUUCAGGAUGACUGAUGGUACUGAACAAGGUUACUUAUGGAUCCUGGUCCACUGUGAUAUCUUUUGUGAUAUACACGAUUGUGUAGCUUAUUGCUCUUGUCCAUUUAUUCUUGGUUUUGAUGUCAUUAACACUUGACGAUGACAGGAUGUUAAACUGGGAUACGAGAGUAAAACUCUAGCUUUACUUUUGCGUUUUGAUAACUAGCAGUAAUGGGAUAAGACAAAAACACAUCCAGCAUCACUUUGACAGUUACCUGGAACUCUUUUUCUUUUGGGAGGAGAAUGAAUCGUGAUUCAGUGUGGUUAAAAGUUUCUCCAUAGCUUCUCCUUUUACAUAAGCUAAUCAAAGUUGCUGGAAAAAAACCCAACAAGCCCCAACCCCCCCAAAAAACAACAACAACAACAACAACAAAAGCACAAUGCAGAAACUUUGGCCCAGCCAAAUUUUAUUACUAAAUAGCUUAUAUAGGCCUGCGUACAGUUAAAAUGAAGCACUACCAGUUCUUUCUGCUUUCCAUUGGUAAACUUUCAUCAGUGGGAUCAUUGUACCUCUGGCUGCAUGAGUCAAACAUUUUGUUAUUCAGCAAAUGUAAUGCACCAGACAUUUGUGUUCAAUACAAAGACUGCAGUUGUGGGUAGUAAUGUUCCCUUAGUGAUGAGCAACUGUAAUACCCAUAGCUCUCAAUGUCCUCCUUGUGUUACAGCCGUGAAUCAUAGCUUUCUCCUGACACUACUAGUAGGUCAGGUCUGAUGAAGGUAUUGAAAGACGUGGAGCUGUUGAGACCUGGUCUUAAAAAGUGGGCCCACAUGAACUUAAUGAUAUUCAACAGGACCAAGUGAAAGGUGCUGCACUUGGGUCUGGGCGAUCUUGCCUGUGUACAGACUUGGAGAAGAACUCACUGAGAGUGGCCAUGGGGAGAAGGACUAAGGGGUCCUGGUGGAUUAAAAGCUGAAUAUGAGACAACAGGAAAGCCAGCUGUAUCCUGGGUUGCAUCAGAAGAGAGUUGGCCAAAAGGGUGAGGGAUGGAACACCUCUGCUGUGAGGACAAACUGAGAGAGUUGGAGCUGUUCAGCCAGGAGAAUGGGAGGUUCUGGGGAGAUCUGAGAGUGGCCUUUCAGGAUCUAAAGGGGGCCUGUAAGAAAGAAGGGGACACUUUAGAAGCGUCUAUUGUGGUAGGACUGGGGGAAGUGAUUUCAAACAAAAACAGGGGAGAUUUAGGUUGGAUAUAAGGAAGAAACUUUUACUAUAAACGUAGUGAAGAACUGGAACAGGUUGCCCAGAGUGGUGGUGGAUGCCCUAUCCCUGCAGACUUUCAAGGUGAGGUUGGAUGUGGCUUUGAGCAACCUGAUCUAGCUGUAGGUGUCCCUUUUUGCUGCAUGGGGAUUAGACCAGAUUAUCUAUAAAGGUCUUUUCAAAUUUAAAUGAUUCUGUGAUUCUAUAAUGUGAGUCAUGCUGGGUCUGACACAGAGAAUCAUUCCUUCUGUAGCUGAAUGUGACCAAUGGAGGAUGGCAGUGUAUCACCAGCGGUGUAUGCUGGUUGACACACUUCGGCUGAAUUGUCUUGGUAGGGAAAAGUGAGCCUGUGUCUUGACCAGCAGCUGCCUGUAUUCAUAACUACAUGUAAAGCUGUCUAUUGUUGAAUCCCUAUCUGAUCCAAGACAUCAAAGGCUGUUAGCAGCUCCUGGCUGUUUGUUGAUUGAUGUGCUUGUUUGGACCUGUGAGUUAGAACACUUAAAGAAGUACAUUCUAAGGCUAGUGGAGGCAAAGCUGUGCAUACAUUUAAUACCAGUUUUCUGGAUAGAUCAACACCUAGGGGAUGGCCCAGCAUCUACUUUUAUAUUACCCUCCUGGCCUAGCUGUUAUCAGCCACAUAUGUUAGCAAAAAUCUCUUACCAAAGCACAAAUCUGAAAGACUUGAGACUGUAAAUCUGAAGAGGGAGGUUUGUGUAAGAAACUAUGAUGUGACCAUAUCAUGGAAAAUUUGUUCUAAGGACUGUUGAGGUCUGACACUGUAUCUCAGUUUCUGAUAGUAGAAGUAUUCCUACAGAGGAAUUAAUGUCGCCAUCUAAAUGGCUUAUGAACAGCUGACCUAAAUCCAAAUUUUCAUGGUCAAAACAACUGCCAGUGUCAAGUAUGCAAAAAUCUCUCUGAAAAGAAGGGAUCAAAUAAAAAGGAUUUAGGUGAAACAAAACGUUGAAUUAUACUAUGUCUGCAAAAGUGUUUCAGAAGUUAAAUAUAACCAUAACGUUGGCUGCUAAGUCCCUCAGCAACUGGCAAAGAAAAUGGAGCACAUUCGUGCAUACCCUGAGUUCCACUGACAUUUUGAUAUUUUUAUCACACUGCUAUUUCAACAGAUACCAUGCUUUCUCAGUGUGCUUUGGACAGAGAGUUUCACAAGUGCUGCAAGAAGUGUUAGAGUUUCCAUGAACAUUCUCAUAACGAAAAGUCAUCACUAUGCCCACUCAUAUAUUUAUCUAUUUUUUUCCUUCCAGACAUUUAUGUAGUGUAGGAGACAGUUGUUGUCACUUAGCAGAUGUGACAUCGAUUAGCAUGUGACAGCGAUUCCAGCGAGUUUCUGUCUUGCUAAACAGUGCCCUCCGUAUCGUUGUCCUAGACAUGUGCUGGUAUUUCUUUGUGACCAAAGAAGCCUAUAUAAUGUUGAUAAUCCUUAUAAAAAGUAUCAGGAAAUUUGGACCCAUUCAAGAAACAUUUUCUUUGGAGUCAGAUUUCAAGCUGGGCAGCUUCCUCACCCUAAUGCUCACACAGCCACACAAACAGUUGUAUCGGCUUAGUAGAGGGUGUGAUAAUGCAUUGCAGAGAGUGGUAGGAAUGGGCAGCUCAGCCUGUCUGGCAGGAAGAUAAGAGCUAAACUGUCAAAAACAUAAUAAUAUUGUAUGUAGCUUGACUUACAUGAGGACUUAUGAGGGUUCAUUUUACUAACUUUCCUUCCUCACAUUCUCCCUCUAUGAUUUUAGUAGCCUCAUUUGCAUACUUUAUCUUACCCAUGCUUUUUUCAACCCUUCUUAUCAUACUUUUCCUCCCUGUUAUGCUGGAUAAUCAAGAGUUGGCAGUAAGGGUAUUUAACAAAGGGCGAAAAAUAAAAAAAAAAUAAAGGAAAAUGCUUUACUACUCUCUACUCCCCAAAUAAUUUAUAUACAUAUUUAGAUCUAUUUGAUCCGUGUCUUGCUGUGUGAAAGGUAUGAUGUUUCCUUCUUUGGAGACAUUCAAAUGCUCUUUGGAUGCAACCUGUUGUCUAUAUCCCUGAUUGAGCAGACGGUUGAACCAUUGACCUCCAGAGGACCCUUCCAAUCUCACCCAUUCUGAGAUUUUGUGAAAUCUAAGGCUUCAAAUGAACCUGCCGCUGUAGCUAUUUGAGAAAUAAAUGGAGGAGUGACUUCAUUACUCAAAGUCCAGAGUGAAACUUUGGUCAAAAAGCAGCAGUGCAUUUCUGCUUGUAGCAGUUGAAUAAGAGUUCGUAAUUCUGAGCUUUUCUCUUUUGAAGUGAGGGAUUUUGACAUAUGUGUCAGUGCUACUUUUAUAAUGCCAAAGAGUUGUUAGCCCCUAGGUUCUCCAGUGUUUUUAAUCUCAGCACUAACUGUAAGCAAUUGUAAUGGAGAUCAGCUGUUAGCUUCCAUCUUGCUGCCAAACCAGGCUUGUAUCACAAGUGGAAAGGUGCUAGACAGUCAAGCGUGAAAUUCUCUUGCCUGCAUCUCUUUUAUUCAGACCUGAUGGAAAUAACAUGUAAGCGAGUAAAAAAUCUCAGCAAUACAAACCUCAAGAGAGACAACUUUAAAAGGCAGAUUUACAUAAUGGCAAAUUUAGGGAUUUGCAUCAGCAUCUUUAGAUACUUUAUUCCAGUCAUUUAUCAAUUUAUACCAUGACUUAAGCAAAUAUUUCAGAAGUACUGCGAAAGAUUGUAAUGCAAAGUCGUGGUUUUAAGUACAAUUCUAUGUGUCUUUCUUUAAUAUUAAUUGUAUACAAAAAUAGCAUGCCUUUUCUUUAACAUUCAUCGUAUACCAACAUAGGGUACCUUUGUAACUUCUGGGGGGCCUAUUUCUGCUGCAGACUCUUAAGAUGAGAAGCAAAUCCAUAACAAAGCCAUAAAUAUGUAAAAAUCAGUUAUUAAAUCUGGUAGAUGGUUCAAAUCUGUUUUUUAGAAGUUUGAUGGCUUUCAGAAGCCAUCAGUAAUUGCCUCCUAAACACUAUAUUUUUGACUCGUUCAUUGUGCAUGGGCUUCAGAAUGAGCAACUUGCAGUCCUUAAGAAUUACCUCCACAGCAUCUCUCCUCCCCAGGUUGUCCCCAGGCACCCCAGAGUGGCUGCUGGGCCCAGCCCACCUGACUAGAACCAGCUGUAUCUUACCUCAUGGGGCAGUCCCGGCCUUGCCUUAUGCUGCAGCCUUGCAGCCCACCACUGCCAAUGCACAUACACAUUACAAAUGGUACAGAAAGGCAAUGUGUAAGGAUAUCCUAUACAGCUUUUCUCACUUGCCUCUUUACAGUGUAAAAUUUCCCAAGUCCUGCAAAAAUGUAAUACCUGACACUUUCUCUGAUCCUCCAUAAAGAGGCUUCUGAUCGCCCUCUGCUUUCCUCUAUGUAUAUGCACUUUCUGCUUUCUCUUCCAUCUAAUAAGUACCACAAUUGGUAUUUUCACUUGUGAAAAAGUAAAUGCCUACCUAAACCAGCACUUGGAGGAGCAAAUAUUUCAAAGAAAGCCCCCAAACCAAGCAAACAAGUGAGUGAGCAACUAACCUCCCAGUGAAAAUAAAAACAGCCAAAGAAAGAGGGGAUUCAUUUGUCUUAAGAGCUUCCAAAGAAUUUUUGGAAACAGCCAUCAUAACAAUAAAUUGUAAGACUAUAGAAAUGGUUAAACCAGUAAAAUAAUGAGCAGAGUGACCCCCAGAAGAUCAGGCUGGAACAGACAAGCAGUCAUUAGCAGAAAGAAUUUGAGCUCUGGGACAGUGUGAGCUACUCCCUUCAGGUUUUGGAAGAUUUAAAAUUACUCUCAUAGUUCACUGUGCAGUUACACUUGCUAUCUCCCCAGCCAAUCUGGAGCAGCCCAUGUGUGCGUCUCCUCUGGCACAUAACAUUGUUUGCACAACUCCAUAUUAAGUCUAUUAAUACUCUUUGCCCACAUGAGGAACCCUUGUUGCAGUGAUGCAACACGCAGCUCAAUCAUAUAAUGUUAACAAAGAGAACUUGAGCAGACACGUAGACCCCAAUCCUGGAAAUAUUUAUAGUUAGGCUUGAGUUCUGGCAUCUUAUUAACCCCUCGAGUAUUUGGAGGAUUGAAAACUUAAUAAAAUGUUCGCCAGAGUAUUCUGUUUACAAAUGAUAUCAAGAGGAAGCAUGUGCAAUGACUUAGAUGAGAAACGAAGUUUUUAAAACAAAGUAUCCCUCCAUCUCUGCUCUGUGUAUGUCAGUUUAUACCACAGAGAUUAUAAGAGCACAGCCAGAAAUAAACAAAUCCUAGUAGACCAGUACUCGGAUUUGUGUUUUCACUCAUGUUACUAGUAGGUCUUCUGGAAAAACGUCAUCUCUUUUUAGCUUCCACUUAGCAUUAUUAACAUCUCAUCUUGGUUUUAAUAUGGACUUUUGUAAGCCUUCACUGUACCCUUAUAAACAGGCCAUUUAAUUUCCCAUGGGCAUAAAUAGAGGCAUAUGAGCAAAUGUUAGCAAGAGAUUAUUGGGACCUCUGUCUUUGCUUUGCCAACUCCUUUUUUUCACAGUUUGUCACUGGAUAUGUUAUAGUUCAGGGUGAUAAAGAACUGAAGGCAGGGAGCAUGGGGUAUAUGUUCAUGAUGCCUUCCCAUUCAUUCUAUUUCCAUGAGUGACAUGGUGAAGUCACAGCUUCUCUGACUGAAUGGCUUAGAUUGCCAGAUAUGUGCUUUAAAGUUAAAAUCUAUACUUUCGGCCAAAAAUGAAGGUUUGGAUACAUGACUUAAAUUCAUUUAGAAAAAAAUUCACAAGUUUGAAAUGUUUCAAGUCUUCUAGGAAUACAUGGGCCUGUAUCUACCAAUUGUUCUCAGUGUUUUGACUCAUACUGUUGAGUUCCAUCUUUUGUUUAUUUAGGGAAUUAUGACUUUUGUGCAUGAUUAAAAUAUCAUGGUCAUAAAAACACAUCAUAGUUUCACAUGGGAUAUGUAUUUUUAAUGUAAUAAUUAAUUUUAUGCCUUCAUAAAUUCAGCUAUCAUUUCUAAUCAUAAGCUGGUCCUAGCUGGAAGACAAGCAUCACAUACCCUCACAUGCUGUCAGUCCUCUAUUCUGUUGUGAAAGAGGGCUGGGUCUCUUGUCUGGUUUGGCAUCUGGCUCCCUAGGAUAUGGAGGGAGUACAGCUGAGGUAACCCUGCAUUCUUUGGAUCAGCCACACUGCCAAGAUGUGAAAGAAACCUUGGAUUACAGCUGCCUCUGCAUGGGUCAGCUGUGUGCUGAGGAACAUUUGCAUGCCCCUUACAAAAUGCUAGUGGGUGAAGAGGCAAGAGGGUGACCUCCAGCUGUUUUUGCUUACACCAGACUGUUUCAGUCUUGGAAGAGCUGCUGGCCCAUGUCCAAGAGCAGUCUGGGGAAGUCCCGUAGGAAUUAAUGAGGGACAUUGAUUGGAAAGACUUUCUGAGCUUCUGAGGCUGACAUCCCAUGGCCUGAGAGCUGGUUAUGUGUCGUGUGUCUUCAAAGGCAUUACGAAAGCAGUUAGGGAAGUCCCUUCUCAAAGAUCUAAGUCCCACAGGAGGGUUCCCAUCUGAGCCUGGACUUUCUUACAUAUAACAAAUAGAACAAAGCAGUUCAUGACUAUCCAGAAGACAGAAAAUCUGUGCCGCUUUUCUUUCUUAAACAUACAGAAUCUCCAUUCUGUUGCUCAAUAACAUUUAUGAAAAGGGAGUAAUACAAAAAUAAUAUCUACUGCACAAAAAUGCACAGCUGUCAUGUGACACACCUUUUAAAACCAAAGCAUCAUCAGGUAUUGUAGCAAAAAGUAGAAAAAAUUCCACUUCAUAAAAACAUAUCUUUAUAUAUGUAUAUAUUUAUAUAAUUCUGUUGAUGCCAACUGAGCUGUCAUUGCUUUAUAUGGUAAAUACAUGAGCUAACAUAGGUUGUCUAAAUAAAUAGCUAACGAGACAAAAAGUGAAACCAAAGUUAACUGUGAGGGCCCUGCCUGCAUUAUUAAUGUGCAUUUCAAAGCUUAAAAAAAAAAAACCCAGUCUCUUUUUACCUUUUCAAAAGAACUGAAACUCAAACAUAGAAUGGGAAACAAGCUGAAAAACUGUAAACACUAAAGAUAUGACGUAAGUCACUGAAAGCUGAGAAAUUGUAAGUGGCAGCAUUAACUCCCAUUGUUUAUUUCAGGGAAGGCAGAAAAGAAAAGGUCAAUUAAGGCAAGAACACCCACCACUAAAACUGCCAGCAUUUACUGCUUUAUGUUAAUCGCUGUGGCUCUAACACCAAAGUAUUUUUUACAUAUCAGCGGACAGCUGCACUUGAACAGAGGCUCAUUGACUUGUCAUCUGAGCAUCUCUUUUGCAUUCAAGGACUUUGAUGUGUGUGGCUGGAAGGAGGAAGUCCCAGCUUUAGCCCACAGCAGCAUCCCGGUACAUACGUGCUGCUUUCUUUGCACACUGCAGUUGUUCUCGACUACUGCAGCUCUGCAAAGAACUGCAAAGAAAAACACACAUGCACGUUUGAGCUCCCAUGUGGAUUGUUUAAUUGUAUAAUUGUGAUGUGACUAAUACCAAACAUUAUAGCAGUGAGUAAUACAAAUGAUGGUUGUCCAUAAGCCAGGCAUUUGAUUAUUAGUGCCAGUGAAAAGACAUCAGGUUGCUGAUGUUGGAGACUGCUGUUUCUGUAGCCUGCCAGGACUGUGACAGGUGCAGUUUCAUGAUAAGAUUCUCUAAAGGUGUACAUGAGUAGAUAUGUUUUCCAGGAGGAGGGAUGGAGGAAAAGAGCACCAUGUUUGAAAAGUGAGCAUGAUGAAUUUCUGGACUGAAUUACAUGCGUCUACUUCCUAUCACAGCAGAGGAAGGAAUACACUGUGAAGGAAAUUUCUUCCAGACUCAUAUCCCUAAUAUGCUAUGAAAUAUACGUGCAUAAACUCCCUGCUUGGGCUUAUUUCAACAUCCAAAAAAGCUUGUGAGCAGUGUUUGAUUAUUCAAGAGCAGGGGAAUGCAAACCUUCUGACACCUCCAAGAAGCUUCCAACAAGCACUUGGACUUGGAAUUGGUGCCUAGGGAGCUUUUCCACACAGAGAUAAGUUUAAUUGCAGACAUCAGCAUUUUGUUUUGGAGGCUGCUUUGUCCAAAAUUUUGCAGUGUGUGCAUAUGUCAUCUCAAGCAUAACAGCUAGCAAAAAAGGAUCAGCUGGUGCUCUGUACUUCAAGGCCAAGUGCUGUGAAUAUCUACAAUAAAUGUUACACACUUGAAUAAUGCCUUUGGCUCAGUCUGUGCUGUCUCUGGGAUAGUGAACCAGAGAGCACGAUAUGAACCCUGACCUGCUUAUUGUGUGCAUGCAUUGCUGCCAAGGGGAUACCCUAAGCCCAGCUAUCUCAAGGUCCUGUACUUUCUCUAUCAUCCACGAAAUGGGGCUUUUCUAUGGGGUCUAGCCAGCUAGCACAUUUAUUCUGGGGUACUCUGGAAUAAAUAGUAUAAGGGCAUAUCUCUUGUCAUUAAGGGAAAAAGAAACCCUUUGGAAAGAAUUGCAUACCUCACCCCGCUGAAUUUGUUCUUACUGUGAAAUAAGUUGACCACAUUGUUGUCUAAUCCUAUUUUAGACCAUGUGGACAAGCCCCCAGAGUUUUAUGGCUAGAGUUUGUCAUUAGUUAUCACAUACAAGGGAUUCUGAAUGUAGUAUUUUGUAUAGGUAUUUAAUUUUAUGGCAUCAGUGUAGGUGUUGAGUUGGGUUUUUGGGUGUUUGUAUAUGUUUGACACCUAUUUUUAGAACUAGUAAGAAAUAUAUAAUAGAGUAUAAACAAUUCAAUGAGCUUACAGUUAGUCUGAUGCUAUGAGUCAGAUGGAAGAUAGUUGAUAAUAAAGGGUGUGACUGGGAUAAAUAGAUAAUUGUAACGUAAAAUAGCACAAACAUCAGCCAAAGUUGGAAAAAGGCAGUGUUUCCAAACUGGAAAAUAUUUUUCAGCUGGGGAUUUGUGGGCUAAGAAAGGGUUAGGGGAUUUCUCUGUGCAGCUUGCAAACACUCCUAUCAAUUCAUCCUUAAAUUGAGGUUGUCGUUUGAGUACUGCCAUUUAGCCAUGUAUGGUAUUCACUUAACUGUGGUUAUGGAGAGGGCUAGAAGCCUUAUGAUGCUGGAAGAAGACUCAAAUCUCAUAAUUAAAGGCACAUACUUAAGAAACCUCCCUUGAAAAAUAAAAAAAAAUAAAAAUUAGAGCAGAAGACUUCAACUGUUACGUAAGUAUCUGCUGUCUAUCAAGAUAAUUUGUGGUUAUCAUGAACCAAACAUUCUAAGCAGAUGGUGAAAUUUAAUUGAUUUUGCAAGGAUAAGUGAAUACUCCUACACCAUAGGAGUGGCUUUAAGGGAGCUUGUAGAAACUGUAAUAGAAGUCCUGUUUCAAAGAGGUGCUGUGAUGGUGGCUUCCCUAGCCCACUUUUCCCUCAAUUCGGAAAGUUGGUACAAGACUGAUAGAGGUCCUUCCCAUCCUCAGCAGCUCCACAACACCCUCAUGCCAAGAAAGGCAGGUCUAAAUGCCUAUUUUCUCAUGCAGCAAGUGGGCAUCAGUUGACCUCUGUGGGACCUGUAAUGACUGGUCAUAACUAUCGCAUUCAUUUCAUUGAUUCUGGUAGGUUGGCCCAAUGGUGGCAAAUAAGGAACCAGUCUUGUACCCUCAACCAGCACAGAAUGAAACUGGUGCAGCUCCCCUCCGUCUCUGCCCUGUAUCCAUUUGUUCUUUGAACUCUUUAUACUCUUUACUCCUUGUACUUUUAUACUCUUUAUAUACUUUAAAUACUCAUAUACAUAAGGAAGCAGAAUUUUAUGGAGACCUGUAAUCUAGAUAAAAAAAAAAAAAACAACAAAAAACCAAAAAACCAAAAAAAACCCCAACAAAAACCAAGAAUAGAAACACGUUGAUGAAACUUGUAAAAUAUGGCUAGGAACUGACAGAAAAUGUGUAAUUAAUUGGAGUAAGCUGUUCUGUAGUAUUAGGACCACCCAAAAGAUGGCACUAAACAACCUUUGGUCAUUCCACCUGAUACAUGGAUAUACAUCUGCACAUGCACACACAGAUUUCUAAGAAUACUCACUAAGAAUAUUUUGCUAACUUAAUUUUGUAAUUUUGGGUGCAAAAGUAGAAAUCCUCCCAGGCAAUUCUGCAUUAGACCAACAGGUAAAUUGAGGAGGAUAAAUUUAUAUAAGCAGAUAAACUUUGCACUGUAAAUAUUACUUUUCUAUACCCACAUGAAAGCAUUCAUAUUUUUGCAAACAUGACAAUGAGACAUUUGGUGAACAGCAUAAUUGCACUAAAAUUUACUCAGGAGUGAAUGCUUUGCAGUUAAAAUAUUUGAUUAUUUCAGUGCUACUGAUGCCACCGCUAUAUACUGACUUUGGUAAAUAUGUGUUUUUUGGGACAGAAGUGCUCAUAUUUAUGUGAGUGCAAUGUGAAGUCAUUUCACUAGUGCAUACAGAGCCACAUGGAAUAGCAAGUGUUAGCCAGGGCAAACUCUGGCCUAUUAUCACUAACUUUUUCAACAUAUAAGGCCAAUGAUUUUGAUUUUUAAGUCAGUGUAGUAGGUCUGUGGUGAGAAGAACAAGACAUGUUUCUACUAGCAACCUAGUUUAUGAUGGAAUAGUUGAAGGAGGAAAAAAUCCCUUUCAUAUUUAUCAACCUAUGAAAACUCUUAUUGUUAUCUCAUUUACAAUAAGCCCUAAAGCUAAGAGUGUUCAGAAGAAGUGCUGGAGGAGGAAACCUGACAUCCUGGAGUUGGCUUUUUCUAUGAUUACAGUUUCAUGAUCGUAAUCAAAUACCACAUUGUUAAUAGUAAACAACAGAACUUCAAGAACACCACCUUUGCUUAAGGCAGAAAUAAUUUGGGCACCAAAAGGAUUAGAGUAACUCGUUGCCUUCCACGUAUUUUUGAUUCCUGUGUGUUAUGAGGCUUCUCUUUUAAAUGUGGUUGCCUGUUAACCCACAACUAAAGAAGACGGAUAAAAAGAAACAUCCCAGGAGCUGGGACAGAUGUGGGAAUUGAAGGAAGUCUGCCUGGGUACAAAAACCUUCUUUCACCUCAUUUUCCAAAGCUUGUCCUUCUGUGAGUCUUUAGUAUCUUGUUCACUACUGCAUUUCUUACUGCCACAGCCAGAAUGGAUGCCUCGGAAACACUGAGUUCUCUAUACACUCAUGAAAUUAAAGGCAUUUAAAUUGACUAUAUCAGCUCAGAAGUGGAAGUCAAGGUUUUAUGUUUGGGGAUAUAUUAUUUUUAUUCUUCUUUUGACAGCUCGAGAAAGGCAUUUGACUCACAUAAUCAUUUGAUUAUAAUAAAAAAAAAACAACAAGUGUGGAUGUUGAGGUUUUCAUAAGGAAAUGAGCUGGAAUUUAUUCAACAGAACUUAGUAGCACCUGUGGAGAAGCUGUGCACAGACGUGGAAACACUAACUGGCUUGGUUGUGUUUAUUCACCAUGAGUAAAAACGUAAAAAAAAUAAUGAAAAAAAAGAAGAGAGAGAUAGGAGAAGUACGCAGAAUGAAUAGGUGAGGAGCUGGAUUCUCUUUGCUUUGGUAGCAAAGUGAGGUUUACUCACUGAAAGAAUGAGAUUUUGCACAACACACUGUUAAAAGCCACCAUGGAGAUUUCAGGUAGUGUGUGGUUGCGUUUUACCAUAGCUUGUUGACAUUAAGGGCUUACCAGUAUAAAAUGUGUAGUAGGAGUACUGUGAUAGCAUUGGGCUGCAAUAGUCAGUGCUAAAAUCUAUGCAUGUAUAUUAGUAAUUAACUUUAAACGGUUUGUAGUAACAGUAUUUAAAUAUAAUAUACCUAGACUAAAUGAAACAGAUACAUUUGUGUGCCUCAAAAUCCUUUAUAAUUUGAUUUUCAACAACGUCGUCUUACUGAAAAUUCUGCAAGUAACAGGAAACACAUGAGAUCACUCCUCAGGAAUAUAUUUUAAAGGAGGCAGGGAGCAAAGCAUUUUUCUGACAGCCAUUACAAUUUGUAUAACAUGUAAAUUCUGAGGAGUUUUGAACUCACUGCAGAUAUUUUCUGCACCAGAGGAUGUAUAGUUUCUUACAUAAGCUUAGAGAUAACUUCGUAGUGAAGUAAGAACUGGAGGAGGUAAGGGGGUGGGAUGACAGGGAGGCAGAGAGCCUGAACUGGAACAUUAUGAAUUCUCACAACGGUAGCUCACUGAAAAAAGUGCUUCAGAACAAACCUUCCUUCAUCCAGUCAAGUUUUGGAAAGAAUUACUGCGUUUGAAACUGAGAUUUUAUUUGAAAACUCUUUGGAAACAGGAUACUGCUUCCAAGCUCUUUCAGUUCUUUUGAGACCUGGAAUGAGAUUCAUCUCAGUCAACUUUGGACAUUUCAUAGAAUCAUAGUAUCAUAGAAUGGCCUGGUUUGAAAAGCACCACAAUGAUCAUCUAGUUUCAACCGCCCUUUCAUGACCAGGGUCACCAGCCACCAGACGAUGCUGCCCACAGCCACAUCCAGCCUACAUUUGCAUUGCAGGUGUCUGCAUAUGAACCCUACAUGCCUUUGUCACUGGAAAGAAGUACACAUUUUUAAUGUACGAAUCAUUUCAUUUAUCAUGGACAUGUACUGUUGGGUAAAGUGAAUAGCAGUUGUGAAGUGCCUGCUUUCUCUCUGUUGAAAAGCCCUUAUAAAGACUGUUUCAGAUGCAGAUAGCAAAGUCCAUGAGAGGAACUCUGUCUCUAAUGUCAAACGUAUUUUUACUUUUGAUUUUUGAAAGACUGAGAAAGUUGCUACAGUUGUGUAUAUUUAAACUCAAAAACUUAAGAAGUGGAACAGUCUGAUACACCCUUGGCAGAGAAGUGCCACUGGAAUAAUUUAUGACAGCAGUGUUUGUCUUCAUAGAGCAACUUACAUAAAAGUCAACCAUUGAACCAUGAAACAGUCUGUGGAGGAGUUGGAAGCUAGGGAUGGAUUCACCUGAUCAAAGUUGAAAGCCUCCUCCACAUCCAAUAACCUAGAGACAACUUUCUACUCCCUUUAUAGUCAACAGAGAGAAACAUGAGUGCAGUUAGUCUCAUCCUUAUGUCAGUGGCAAAAGCCACAAGUUCUGCACCUUCCAAGCAUCUGCUUUACUCCAUUAGCUUGUAAAGGUGCCAGGGUUGUCUAUUUAAAGACACUUUAAGAGUUGCUUUAGGCAGAACUAGUGCUCCCAUCUGCAACAGGAAACUGCUUUUGUGGAUGCAGUUGCAAGAGGAGACUUGAAUAAAACUAUCUGGGAGGGUCAAUCUGACACUGAAAGCAGCUGUAAAGAAUCCUGAUAGGGGAAGAACAGUUGUUUUGUAUUGCUGUUUGGGAGUCUAGCAAUCCAUGGUACAUUUCUAGCUGUGCAAGUAGAACUCGCUGCAUGGCUUAAAAUGGGAUAGCUAUGAAUUUUAUGUCUUCCAGUUGCUUCCUCUGGGAAACAAUGGUAGUGAUAUCUUCUUGUGCCUCUUUGUCACUCAACAUUUGACCUGUGUAAGCAUAGGAGAAUUCUGAAAUCUCACAGCUCGACUUCACAGUUAUGGGAAACUUGGGGAUAUUUGGUUAAGUUUUGAAUGGCAUACCUUUCUUUCAGCUAGCUUAGUUCUGGAUCAAACCAGCAUAACUUCUUUGGGAGAAAAUCCAAGCAAUGAACUUCACAGUGAAACCUUGGGGAUAGGAAUGUUAUUUUGUUUUGCAGUAUGAAGAACUUAUAUAAGAAAGUAAACUGUAGCAUCAUACAUACAUGUUUUACCUUUAAUGUUUUCUUUUCUUUCUGCUGCUGUAUAUUGUUGCCGUGCAUUCGUUCUCAAAUUUGGGGACUGGAGACAAAAGCAAUCAGCAGACAUCACUGUUCAUGUAAGCCUUCCUCUUGGUGGACUUGCUCAGCACAGCAAACUCAUGUAACUCCACCUGUAGCCAUCCAUCUUCCUGGGAGUCGUAACACCUGUGUAUGCUAAGAACCUGUAAGGAAGUCUCUUGUUGACUACUGCUAUGAAACUAACCAACAGGAAGAAAUUUUUCAAUACCCAGAACUGCUGCUGCAACAACAGAAUACGGUUAUUGUAUAAAGGAAGCUAAGAUUCCUAACAGAGCUAUUUAAUGCCUCCCUUUCAUGGAGGCAGUGAAAAUCUUUUUGAAGACAAAAUUCUUAGUAAAGUAUGUGGAGAGAAAGUGUCCUAAUCAGUCAAAAGAGCAUUGACACAGAAUAGAAGGUGCCACAGUUCUAUUGUUGGUCUUGGAAGGAAAACUGUAGCAAUACUGACAUCACUAGUUUGGGUUGGACCCCUGUCUCUGAAGUUACUUUAUUUUCCCAUCUAUUUUUUUGUAAUUUCAGCUUUGUGUACUGUAUGAACUUUUGAGUGACUAUGCUGCCUACACUGCGCUUCUGCAAUUUGUCUGCAAAAUAUCUUGAAGGCUGAAACUACUGUGGUGGAACUUAUUAAUGUCAACGAGUGCAAAGCCUAAUUAUUACUGAAACUCAAGCCUUAUCUUCUCACUCCAAGUUAAAAAUCUUGAAGUGGCUUAUAUCAUGCUGAUGGCACUAUGUUAAACAAACAAAAAUAAUAACAACCUAAAACUUGCAGAUGUAGUGUAUAAGAGAACUGUUUAUUUGUAAUUGCUAAUUUCACCAUUAUCAUGAUUCUUGAUUCAUUUCAUAUUUUGAUAUUCCUGAAUAUUUAUAUUCAUUCGCUGUACAUGGGCUUGAAAGACUCUCUGCUGGUCUGUUACAAUAUUUUCUCAUAGCAAGAGAUGAUGCUAUCAUCCAACUCUUAGCUGGAAAGUGCACUAAUUAUUUUCUGAGUGGGCAGAAGGUCACAGCCAAUGGACAAUGGAAAGACAAGUGAGCUACAUACAACUGUGCACUGGAAUUAAGCUGAGGGAGGAAAAAUAAUAUUUUUAAAUAUAGUGCAUAAGAUAAUUUCAAAGCUUUUUAAAAGUCUUUGCCAUGCUCUCAAAUGGGAAAAUUAGGUAUUAUUCAGUGUCAAGACCAGAAAGGCCAGCUCACAGUAGCAGAGAUACAGUAGUAGUAAAUAAUAGAAAUACUUUAUUUUCAAAGUCACAAAGUAAACUUUGAUCAUCAUACGGAAAUUACAGCAGACCUAAAAAAUCUUGCCACUGACCUCUAAGGUAGAAUAAAACUGAGAGAGAAGGGGAGUUAACUCACCAACUUUUUAAUUACUGUUAUGCCAAGACUUUGAGAGAGUUUAAAUCCCAAACAUGUACUCUAGGAAAGGAAAACAUUUCCCUUCACUGUACAGCCCUUAGGAGGUGGCGGGCUUUUUUUGCCUUCUCCUACCCCUCCUUGAUUUUUUUCUUCCUUAUAUGUACGUGUAAAAACACAAAGUCAUAUGUAAGAAGUUCACUUAAUUCCUCACUCUCUGCUCACAUUUGUUACAGAUUUUGUUUGGCUUUCAGUUUGCCAGAAGGGAAAGGAAAAGUGUGUUUCAGCCAGGGAAUGCUGCUGUCCACUGAAAAAUGUGUUUGGAUGGAGGAGCUCUUUUUCAUGGCCAGAUUGUGGCUUUUGGCAGCAGAGGUGGCAGGAAGCAGUUGCCAUAACAACUAUACCAUUAAAAAAAAACAACAACUUUAGAAAUCUGGCUAGCUCUGAAGACAAACCAGGUGAUGAUUUACAUAAACAUUAUGAGCACAGCCAAAGGAAAUGGCUCUUGUGGUAGAACAUGCAGGCUCUGGAGCCUCAGACUGGAGUCCCUCUGGGAAGGCCUUCUGCAGGAAUAAUCAAGGAAAAGAAAAGAGAUUAGUGCCCUGUUCCUGGAAGCAUGGAAAAUAAUCAUUUUCUUUGGAUUUUAUUAAAAUAUAUUUUCCCACAUUUUCUCUUCAGUCCUUUUGUUGAGUCAGCGUAGAAUGCUGAGUGGUGUAAGUAUGACUGAUAUAUUACUACCAAAUUAGCAGAGUAUAGCAUAAGAAGAGCAAGGUAACAGUUCAAGCAAUGUGGAAAAACUCAAACACAGCCUUGUUCUUGUUUAAUUAUUCCACAUAUUUUGAUGUAUCCAAAACUCCUUUUUUUAAAAAAAAAAAAAAGUUUCAGUUUGGCUGGAAGUCUAAAAUUGACCAAAUGGAUCCUGUAUUCUAACCUAAAAAUGAGAUUUUGGUCUACAAAUUCAGUCUUGGGAAUAGAAAUCUCCCUCAUUGUACGUCAUUCUGUAAAGUUUCUGAAGAGGUGAAAUGUCACAUUAUGAAGAGAUGGAAAAUGCAUUAAGAGAGAAUGAGUUCAUCUUCCUGAUACUGAACAGUCUCUGCACAGUAAUGGAAUUAUGACAGCCUUGGAUGUUUGAGGAAAUCUAUACUGCUGUCUGUGCUGCAUUUGAUUUGUGGAGGAGUGGAUUUCCAUUCUCAUUAAUGGCUUUCUCUGAGCUACUGCAAACUCUAAAAUGAGAAAUAAAACCAUGGUUUUGGGAAGAUAAGACCUGUCAUAACCACAUGGUGACAUUGCAGAUUGCUUUGCAGAAAGAAAAAAAAAAUGCAGAGGAGGUACUGGAGUAUUUCUGAGAUAUGGAGUUCUGUCAAUGACAAAUAAUGCAUAAAAGUAGAGGACAAAGAUGUGCAGUUUGCAUGACUGCUAUGUUUACCUGCUUAAGAGCAGAGGGAGUUGAGGAGUGUGUACAGUUUUUGCUUUGCCCCAGGACCCUGGCUGAGGAGAAAUGCUGGGAAGGAAGAAAACAUGUUAGUCUGUUAUUGCUGCGAAGAGUGUGGAGCAGAUAAAUCAUUUCCUGAAGCCCUUUAAGCAGGAUAAAUGGUAGAACUGCAUGCUUGUACAGUGUUUUCACUGCAUCCUUCAAUGAUGUUGAACAUUGUAUGAACAGUCUUAUAAACAUGUAGUGUAAAUGUAUAAAUGAGAUUUUUGGAAAUAUUUUUAUAUACAUGCAUAAUAUAUGCAAAUAUCUAACAUUUUGGGUGUGCAUAUGUGUGUAUAUAUAUAUAUAUAUAUAUAUGUACACACACACAUAUAUAUGUACACAUAUAUACUGUGUAUCUUUCACCAAGCACUAGCAGGACAGCUGUCUUGUAAGGUGGUUCAAGGACUGGUAUGUAGUAUCAUGGAUUAUUAAACACAUAUUUCCAAAGGCCUCGGACCUAUUACUAUAGGUACUGGCCACUAUGCAAAACUUCACUGCCAUUGUAAGAACAACCCAAGAAGAAAAGCUAUUCCUAGGCAUGAAAAAAAAAAACGGUUUCUAUAAAUAAGAAUCAACAUCACUUAGUAUUUGUAAGGCAAAAUAAAAAAUAAAAAAAAUAAAAAGGGAAAGUCCAAAAUUCAUCAAAAUGUCAACUAUCAAUAGAUCAGGCAUACACUUGUAAUAAGACUUAGUUUUUGAGUUGAAUUUGCAUUCUCUUUUGGAAGGAGCACAUCAUUUUAGGGAACAAGAAAAACUCUGUAUUAUUGAAUUAGAAAGGAUAUACAAGAAAUCAGCAUGAAAAUUAUAAUUUAAAAUAAUCCGGUUCUAUUAGAAAGUCAUGGUAUAAUCAUAGAAACAUUAAGGUUGGAGAAGACCUCCAAGAUCAUCUAGUCCAUCAACUACUUCAUCUUAAGAGCCACAAUUCAAUAGCAGUGUGUAUGCAAUUAUGUGGCACCAGCCAUAUCCCCUUAGCUAUUGCCUUAAUCUUCUCUUGGGUACAUGUGCUACGAUACCAUACAGGCAUGCAUCAUACACUUUCGCCACCUGUCCUGGCAGAUUUUUACUACUCUUAGAUGAGUUUGUAUUGCUAAUUAUUAAUCGAAUUUGGGCCACCUUAAUCCACUGUCUAAUUCUGCUGAAUGAAGCUUUUGGACAUGGAUGAAAUAAAAAUUUCCAGGUUUAUAAAUACCUGAGGUGUGGGAGCCAUAGUGGUGAGUCUGGUCUCUUUUCAGUAGUGCA